UCUCCGUUGGUGAACCAGCGGAGGGAUCAUUACCGAGUUUACAACUCCCAAACCCAAUGUGAACGUUACCAAACUGUUGCCUCGGCGGGGUCACGCCCCGGGUGCGUCGCAGCCCCGGAACCAGGCGCCCGCCGGAGGAACCAACCAAACUCUUUCUGUAGUCCCCUCGCGGACGUUAUUUCUUACAGCUCUGAGCAAAAAUUCAAAAUGAAUCAAAACUUUCAACAACGGGUCUCUUGGUUCUG
rnacentral:misc_RNA from 1 species